UCCCCAUUCCAAACUUCGCAGCAGCAGGAUGCAGACACCGUGGUAGAGGUUGUGCACGGUGCCGGGAGGGUAGGGGGUGCGCGGGAACUCGUCAUACAUGCUGCUCAAUUUUACUGUGAACCUAAAACUAUUUUAAAAAAAUUAAGUCUAUUUUGUUUCAAGUGUAUUUCUGUAUUUUGAGAGACAGAACGAGAGAAGGCGUACCCAUUCGUAGGGGAGGGGCAGAGAGAGAGGGAGACAGAAUAUCCCAAGCAGGUGCCGCACAGGCAGCGUAGAGCCCCAUUCGGGGCUUGACCUCUUGAACCUUUGAGAUCGGGAGAGAACAGGUCUGAAC